AUGGCCUGGGCCCCUCUGCUCCUCACGCUGCUCACUUACUGCGUUGGUUGGAGUUCCCAGAGUGCACUGACUCAGACCAGCUCCAUGGCAGUGAAACUGGGGGAGACGGCCGAGCUGCACUGCACACUGCAAGGGGUGGAGUACAUUAGUAACAACAGCCCAUCCUGGUAUCAGCAGAGAUCGGGGACGGCCCCUCGGUUACUGAUCUAUAACUCUAGGAGCAGAGCCUCCGGGAUCCCCGAGCGCUUCUCUGGCGAGAUGAACGGUAACAGGGCGUCGUUAACCAUCACUGGAGCCCUGGCCGAGGACGAGGGGGAUUAUUACUGUGCUCUGAACAAUUCUCUCCUGUGUCUUCAAUACGACGCUCCUGUUAAUUCACCCCAGAAAGAUAUUUGCCUUUUUUGCAAUUGGGUCAUAUUGGCACAUAUUCAAUUUGUGAUUCACUAUAACCACCAGGUCCUUGUCAGCUGUAUUCCUGCCGAGCCAGUUAUGUCCCAGAGAGAGUGGGCACAGCAGACCUGUGAAGAGAAAGAGGUGUCAACUGUGAUGGAGAACCCCAUGGGAUAA